CAAGCUACAUACUUCAUUCAUUAAGCAAAAUGAAUUUAGCGUACAAUGUAGAGACAGCUAGGGCCUCCUAAAGGAACCGGAGAAACGCAACAAAAGAAACGCAACAAAACAAAACAAAAGAAACGCAACAAAAGAAAACAACAAUAGGAAGACAAAACAAGGAUGCGAUCACGCAGAAAGAAGACGAAGGAAAAGCGGCAGGAAUGCCC
rnacentral:lncRNA from 1 species